rnacentral:rRNA from 1 species
AACGAGCGCUGGCGGCAUGCCUAACACAUGCAAGUCGAACGAGACCUUCGGGUCUAGUGGCGCACGGGUGCGUAACGCGUGGGAACCUGCCCUUAGGUUCGGAAUAACUCCCCGAAAGGGGUGCUAAUACCGGAUAAUGUCUUCGGACCAAAGAUUUAUCGCCUUUGGAUGGGCCCGCGUUGGAUUAGCUAGUUGGUAGGGUAAAAGCCUACCAAGGCGACGAUCCAUAGCUGGUCUGAGAGGAUGAUCAGCCACACUGGGACUGAGACACGGCCCAGACUCCUACGGGAGGCAGCAGUGGCGAAUAUUGGACAAUGGGCGAAAGCCUGAUCCAGCAAUGCCGCGUGAGUGAUGAAGGCCUUAGGGUUGUAAAGCUCUUUUACCCGGGAUGAUAAUGACAGUACCGGGAGAAUAAGCUCCGGCUAACUCCGUG